CUUUCUUUACCUUCACUUUGGCUGGCUUAGCCUUCUCCUUCACAGGUUCUGCUUUAGCCUUCUCCUUCACAGGUUCUGGCUUAGCUUUCUCCUUUACAGCUUCUGGCUUAGCCUUCUCCUUUACAGCUUCUGGCUUACCCUUCUUUACAGCUUCUGGCUUAGUCUUCUUUACAGGGGUGGGUUCUGCUUUAGCCUUCUCCUUUGCAGGUUCUGGCUUAGCUUUCUCCUUCACAGGUUCUGGUUUAGCUUUCUCCUUUACAGGGACGGGUUCUGCUUUAGCCUUCUCCUUCACAGGUUCUGCUUUAGCCUUCUCCUUCACAGGUUCUGCUUUAGCCUUCUCCUUUGCAGGGUCUGGUUUAGCUUCAUCCUUUACAGGUGCAGGUUCUGGCUUAGCCUUCCUUACAGGGGUGGGUUCUGCUUUAGCCUUCUCCUUUGCAGGUUCUGGCCUAGCCUUCUCUUUUACAGAUUCUGGACUAGCUUUCUCCUUCACAGGUUCUGCUUUAGCCUUCUCCUUCACAGGGGUGGGUUCUAGCUUAGCAUUCUCCUUCACAGGUACAGGCUUAGCCUUUUCUUUCAAAGGUGCAGCCUUGUCUUCCUCCUUCACAGGUACAGGCUUAACCUUUUCUUUCAAAGGUGCAGCCUUGUCUUCCUCCUUCACAGGUACAGGCUUAGCCUUUUCUUUCAAAGGUGCAGCCUUGUCUUCCUCCUUCACAGGUACAGGCUUAGCCUUUUCUUUCAAAGGUGCAGCCUUGUCUUCCUCCUUCACAGGUACAGGCUUAGCCUUUUCUUUCAAAGGUGCAGCCUUAUCUUCCUCCUUCACAGGUACAGGCUUAGCUUUUUCUUUCAAAGGUGCAGCCUUGUCUUCCUCCUUCACAGGAACAGGCUUAGCUUUUUCUUUAGUUGGUUCUGGUCUAGCUUUCGCUUUAGGGAGCUCUGGCUUAACUUUCUCCUUAGCAGGCUCUGGCUUGGCUUUUUCCUUUACAGGCUCAGGCUUUGCUUUCUCCUUCAUGGUUUCUGGUUUAGCUUUUUCCUUAACAGCUUCUGGCUUUACCUUCUCUUUAGCAGGUUCUUUUUUAGCUUUGUCCUUCACAGGUUCUGCCUCAGCUUUCUCCUUCAUGGGUACUGGCUUAGCUUUUUCUUUUGCAGGUGCAGGUUCUGGUUUAGUCUUCUCUACUGCUGGUUCUGGCUCAGUUUUCUCCUUCAGAGCUUCUUUCUUAGCCUUUUCUUUCAGGGUCUUCAUUUUCUCCUUCACUGGUUCUGGCUUAACCUCCUCCCUUGUGGGCACUGGCUUUGCAGUUUCUUUUACAGUUAUUUUCUUAGCGGUUUCCUUUCCAGGUUCAAGCUUAAGUUCUUCCUUUUUGGGCUUAGGCUCAGCUUUCUCCUUCACAGGUUCUGGUGUAGCCUUCUCUUUUACAAGUUCUUCCUUAGCUCUCUCCUUUUUGGGCUCUGGCUUUGCCUUCUCUGCAAUGGGCUUUGGUUUGGCCUUGUCCUUAGGAGAUUCUGGCCUAGGUUUCUCCUCCUUGAAUUCUACCAUAGCUUCUUCCUUAUCGGUAGUAGGUUCUGGUUUAGCCUUCUCCUUUACGGAUUCUAGCUUGGCUUUCUGCUUUUCUGGUUCUGGCUUAGUCUUCUCCGUAAUGGGUUCUUGCUUAGGUUUCUCUUUUUCAGAUUUUGGCUUAGCUUUUUCCUUUACCGAUGCAGGCUCUGGCUUAGCUUUUACCUUUACCGAUGCAGGCUCUGGCUUAGCUUGCACCUUUACCGAUGCAGGCUCUGGCUUAGGUUCUUCUUUUACAGAUGCAGGCUCUGGCUUAGCUUUUUCCUUUACCGAUGCAGGCUCUGGCUUAGCUUGCACCUUUACCGAUGCAGGCUCUGGCUUAGCUUUUUCCUUUACCGAUGCAGGCUCUGGCUUAGCUUUUUCCUUUACCGAUGCAGGCUCUGGCUUAGCUUGCACCUUUACCGAUGCAGGCUCUGGCUUAGCUUUUUCCUUUACCGAUGCAGGCUUAGGUUCUUCUUUUACAGGUUCUGGUUUAUCUUUUUCCUUCACAGGUACAGGUGGAGGUGCAGGUUCUGAAUU
ensembl:lncRNA